rnacentral:tRNA from 5 species
UGGCCCGUUGGUCAAGUGGUUAAGACACCGCCCUUUCACGGCGGUAACAUGGGUUCAAAUCCCGUACGGGUCAG